rnacentral:lncRNA from 1 species
GCUGGUUUCAAACUCCUGACCUCACGUGAUCCUCCCACCUUCGCCUCCCAAGGUGCUGGGAUUAUAGCCCAGAAUCAUGUAAUUUUAGAGACUGCAUGCUAAGUGACAUGUAAACUCUCCCUAAGAGGCAGAGAGAUGGGGAGGGGAUAUCAGAAUGCAACUCUAUCUGGAAUCUUGAAUAAAGGAGAUUUGGACAUCACUGAAGCUAGACAGAGUCCAGCAGAGAGAGCUGAGUCCAAAAAGAAAGGAGAGGACAGAACCCAUUCCAGGUGGAGCACCUCUCCUGUGUGUUUGACUAGGCCCUUGGCACAUUUCCUAGCCUCAUGGAGCCCUGGAUCAUGCACAUUAUUGCUCUCUUCACCCUUUGCACCUGCUCACAUCUUUCUACUGCAGCAAUGACUGUGGGAAGCUGUAUUUGUCCAUAUACUUUGGGGCGUGUGUACAUAUUAUUGGGACUUUUGUCUUUCUUUCUCCUCCCUCUCUCUCUGCAUCAUUACCUCAUCUCCAGGACUCCGCCCUGAAAACUCCUGUGGCCUCAUCUCUCUGAAUGCCCCAUCCUGUUAUUUCAACUUUGUGUGUCUCCAUGCUCCCCAUGUAUGGUCUGAAACCUGGAGCAGAUUGUAAUUCCCACCUAAUUUGACUUUGUUAUUCUGCAUUAAAUAAUAACGAUCUUAUCUUAAUGGCCAGAGAGGAGAAUUUAUUUUUGCCCCCACUUCUUGUGCAGGUCAACAAGAGGAGCUUAGUACUCCACACAAUGACUUAGGAACCUGUGCUGGUGGUGGCACUGGCAUCUUACAGCUGCUCCAUCUGGAGAAGGUUCCAGGUGAUUCCAGCUCUUCAUAUAGCUGCUGCCUCACAGAAUUAGGAUGAGUAGUGGGAAGAACUGAGUGUGGGAAUGAAGCAGAUGGGACAGAGUCCAAGAACCCAAAAGCAAGGAGGAAGAGACAGUACCGGGGCAUGAAUAGCCUUGGAGGGUUCCUGACGCCAGCCUGCAGUUCCUGGAGCUCCAGCACCUCAUCCACAACAUUUGCGAAUGGACAAGGCAGGAGUGAGGAAGAAAGGUUUCAUCUUCAGAGAAGAGGUAUCAGUAGUGUAGGGGUGAAGGUGAUGGAAGAAACGGUUGUGGAACAAAAGGAAUAGAAAGCUCCCGGCAAGGAUGGAGGCAGCACUGUUUGUUGGACAACUGAAUUGGCCCAGGUGGCCCCUGCACUCUCAGGUUGGCUUGGGCAGUCCAGUGUAGGAUUUCCACAAGGGAAGGUGCCAUGCUGCCUGUAUUUUCCCCAGGAGGAGGCGCUGGGAUGCUGGAUUUAUCUACAUGGGUGAUGUGAAAGCUGAACUGAACUGCAGCUGUUGCUUUUCAGCCAAUUGAUUGAUGGAUUUCAGGAGGUCUUCGGUUGACUGGAUAAGGCCCACCAGUAGUGGGGAAGACAAUCGGCUAUACUCAGUCUACCAAUUCAAAUGUUUGUCAUGCAGAAAUACUCUCCCAGACACGCCCAAGAAGAUGUUUAACCAAAUGUGUGGGCAGCCAUGUCCCAGUCAAGUUGAUACAUGAAAUCAACCAUCACAGACACAGUGUUUUUCUGUUAGGAAGGCUGUGUGAAGACACCGAAACCCUAGGAAGAAGGUCAUGUGAGGAUGGAGACAGAGGCUGGAGUGACGUUGCUGCAGGAC